rnacentral:rRNA from 1 species
AACGAACGCUGGCGGCGUGCCUAACACAUGCAAGUCGAACGGGAUCCAGAGCUUGCUCUGGUGAGAGUGGCGCACGGGUGAGUAACGCGUAGAUAAUCUACCUGAUGAUCCAGGAUAACACUUCGAAAGGGGUGCUAAUACCGGAUAAGCCCAAGGGGUCUUUGGACUCUGCGGGAAAAGGGGGGGACCUUCGGGCCUUCCGUCAUCAGAUGAGUCUGCGUACCAUUAGCUAGUUGGUAGGGUAAAGGCCUACCAAGGCGACGAUGGUUAGCUGGUCUGAGAGGAUGAUCAGCCACACUGGAACUGAGACACGGUCCAGACUCCUACGGGAGGCAGCAGUGGGGAAUUUUGCGCAAUGGGGGAAACCCUGACGCAGCAACGCCGCGUGAGUGAUGAAGGCCCUUGGGUCGUAAAGCUCUGACAGAGGGAAAGAAGUGCAGGGGAGCUAAUAUCUCUCUUGCUUGACGGUACCCUCAAAGGAAGCACCGGCUAACUCCGUGCCAGCCGCCGCGGUAAUAC